AGAGUUUGAUCCUGGCUCAGGACGAACGCUGGCGGCGUGCUUAACACAUGCAAGUCGAACGGUGAAAGAGGAGCUUGCUCCUCUGGAUCAGUGGCGAACGGGUGAGUAACACGUGAGUAACCUGCCCUUGACUCUGGGAUAACCUCGGGAAACCGAAGCUAAUACCGGAUACGACCCUCGGAGGCAUCUCCAGGGGGUGGAAAGAAUUUCGGUCAAGGAUGGACUCGCGGCCUAUCAGGUAGUUGGUGAGGUAACGGCUCACCAAGCCGACGACGGGUAGCCGGCCUGAGAGGGUGACCGGCCACACUGGGACUGAGACACGGCCCAGACUCCUACGGGAGGCAGCAGUGGGGAAUAUUGCACAAUGGGCGCAAGCCUGAUGCAGCAACGCCGCGUGAGGGACGACGGCCUUCGGGUUGUAAACCUCUUUUAGUAGGGAAGAAGCGAAAGUGACGGUACCUGCAGAAAAAGCACCGGCUAACUACGUGCCAGCAGCCGCGGUAAUACGUAGGGUGCAAGCGUUGUCCGGAAUUAUUGGGCGUAAAGAGCUCGUAGGCGGUUUGUCGCGUCUGCUGUGAAAUCCCGAGGCUCAACCUCGGGCCUGCAGUGGGUACGGGCAAACUAGAGUGCGGUAGGGGAGAUUGGAAUUCCUGGUGUAGCGGUGGAAUGCGCAGAUAUCAGGAGGAACACCGAUGGCGAAGGCAGAUCUCUGGGCCGUAACUGACGCUGAGGAGCGAAAGCGUGGGGAGCGAACAGGGUUAGAUACCCUGGUAGUCCACGCCGUAAACGUUGGGAACUAGAUGUGGGGACCAUUCCACGGUCUCCGUGUCGCAGCUAACGCAUUAAGUUCCCCGCCUGGGGAGUACGGCCGCAAGGCUAAAACUCAAAGGAAUUGACGG
rnacentral:rRNA from 1 species